rnacentral:rRNA from 1 species
GUGAACGCUGGCGGUAGGCCUAACCCAUGCAAGUCGAACGGCAGCACAGUAAGAGCUUGCUCUUACGGGUGGCGAGUGGCGGACGGGUGAGGAAUACAUCGGAAUCUACUUUUUCGUGGGGGAUAACAUAGGGAAACUUACGCUAAUACCGCAUACGACCUACGGGUGAAAGCGGGGGAUCUUCGGACCUUGCGCGAUUGAAUGAGCCGAUGUCGGAUUAGCUAGUUGGCGGGGUAAAGGCCCACCAAGGCGACGAUCCGUAGCUGGUCUGAGAGGAUGAUCAGCCACACUGGAACUGAGACACGGUCCAGACUCCUACGGGAGGCAGCAGUGGGGAAUAUUGGACAAUGGGCGCAAGCCUGAUCCAGCCAUACCGCGUGGGUGAAGAAGGCCUUCGGGUUGUAAAGCCCUUUUGUUGGGAAAGAAAAGCAGCAGGUUAAUACCCCGCUGUUCUGACGGUACCCAAAGAAUAAGCACCGGCUAACUUCGUG